rnacentral:rRNA from 1 species
UACCAGCACCCCGAGUGGUCGGGACGAUUAUUGGGCCUAAAGCAUCCGUAGCCGGUCCUACAAGUCUUCCGUUAAAUCCACCUGCUCAACAGAUGGGCUGCGGAAGAUACUAUAGGGCUAGGAGGCGGGAGAGGCAAGCGGUACUCAGUGGGUAGGGGUAAAAUGCGUAGAUAUCAAGAGGAACAUCUGAGGUGAAGACGGGUUGCUGGGCCGACACUGACGCUGAAGCGCGAAAGCCAGGGGAGCAAACGGG